rnacentral:rRNA from 1 species
UACAGAGGGUGCAAGCGUUAAUCGGAAUCACUGGGCGUAAAGCGUGCGUAGGCGGUCAUGCAAGUCGGGUGUGAAAUCCCCGGGCUUAACCUGGGAACUGCAUUCGAUACUACAUGGCUAGAGUAUGGUAGAGGGAAGUGGAAUUUCCGGUGUAGCGGUGAAAUGCGUAGAUAUCGGAAAGAACACCAAUGGCGAAGGCAGCUUCCUGGACCAAUACUGACACUGAGGCACGAAAGCGUGGGUAGCAAACAGG